CCAGAAAUGUUACCUUUUUUUUAUCAUCCAAAAGUUAAUUACAUGUAAACAUCUUGGUCCAUACUUUGAUCAACCAAAACUCCUCUUUGUAUCAAAUUCAGAUGUCCUUUCAGUGGUGAUAGGCAUAGAACUGUUGCCAGUGAGGAGUGGAAAUACCCUACUCUUCAUAAAUGGUUUGUGGUAAAGCUGUUCUCAUUUGGGAAGCCCCCAACAUCUGAAAACCCGGUAUUUUCCACUGUGAUAUAAUGAUCUGUAAAGGACCAGAUUGCUUACAGUCUUGCAACAAUAGAAGGAAGUCAAUUAAGACGAAGCACACCAGGGCCAGGACAGAGUAUUCACUACAUCUCUGGUGGGCCUUCUCUUUAUCUACUGUAAACAACCAAGUUAUAUUUGGACGCACAACUGAGAGGUUCAGUGGAUGACUGUCUAUGAUUUGUAAUGAAAAAAAUCAAGCCUUUUCAGA